rnacentral:rRNA from 1 species
GAUGAACGCUGGCGGCGUGCCUAAUACAUGCAAGUCGAGCGAACAGACGAGGAGCUUGCUCCUCUGACGUUAGCGGCGGACGGGUGAGUAACACGUGGAUAACCUACCUAAGACUGGGAUAACUUCGGGAAACCGGAGCUAAUACCGGAUAAUAUAUUGAACCGCAUGGUUCAAUAGUGAAAGACGGUUUUGCUGUCACUUAUAGAUGGAUCCGCGCCGCAUUAGCUAGUUGGUAAGGUAACGGCUUACCAAGGCAACGAUGCGUAGCCGACCUGAGAGGGUGAUCGGCCACACUGGAACUGAGACACGGCCCAGACUCCUACGGGAGGCAGCAGUAGGGAAUCUUCCGCAAUGGGCGAAAGCCUGACGGAGCAACGCCGCGUGAGUGAUGAAGGUCUUCGGAUCGUAAAACUCUGUUAUUAGGGAAGAACAAAUGUGUAAGUAACUAUGCACGUCUUGACGGUACCUAAUCAGAAAGCCACGGCUAACUACGUG